rfam:Oryza glumipatula chromosome 2, whole genome shotgun sequence.
AAUAAGCGCAGUUGUGAAUUUCAGUGCCCAAUUUUGACCAUCCGUCUUAUUUGAAAUAUUUUUGUGAUUAGUAUUUUUAUUGUUAUUAGAUGAUAAAGUAUGAAUAGUACUUUAUGCAUGACUUAACCUUUAAAAUUUUUUCAUAAAUUUUUUAAAUAAGACAGACGGUCAAACGUUGGGCACGGAUACUUAUGGUUGCACUUAUA